rnacentral:misc_RNA from 1 species
UGCGCUCCUGGUCGACAUCUCUCUUGUGAGUCUGGCAUACACAAGUGAGCGUAUGUGCCGUAAGAAGGGCACGAAGGAAUUAUAUAUAUAUAUAUAUAUAUCAUCUUUGUUUUUUAUUCUGCCGCGUGUACCUGUACGUGUGUGUGCUCUCCCUUCGGAGCCUUUUGUUUUUCUGUGCCUCACUGCUGGCGCAGAAAGCACUUAUUAUCCUUGUUUCGUUUCGUUCUCCUGUCACUGUCUUCCGUACGGAUCGUUGCAUUGGUGUUGCGGCACGCCACGACCCCCCCCUCCUAGUUUUGGGUUACACAAGCACCCCGAGAAGCACGCCGGCGCUCUCUCGGCGCGGCAUAGAUCACCUGCUGUCCGCCUCCUGUGUUGAACGCGCUUCGACUCCGGCCCCGUUCCUAAUUUUUUUUUGUCGCUCUAGCUGCCUUGCCUCCCACCACCACCACCUCCCCAUCCCGUUCGGCUGCCUCUGCUUUUCUUUUACUGGCCGUGCACGCGUCUUUCAUGCGUGCAAACCCUCUCACUUCCUCGCCUCUCUUCGUGCUGGUGUUGCCGCUGCUGCUGCUCCCAAGAGAACACUCUUGGAACGCCGCAUGUGUUUCAUCCUCAUAGCGUGACGUGGAGGUUUUUUUUUGCAUGUUUGUGUGUGUGUGUGUGUGUUUCUCGCUUUCGCGCUACACUCUCACCCCUCCCCCAAUCCUUUUCUCAUCCCUCAGCUUCCUCAUCAAUGGAUAACCGAGGCAAGAACGAGUGGGGGUUUCUGGUCGUCUUGGCCGUUGGUGCCUUUGCGUACUACCUCUCUACCUUGAAGCCGUCACCAGAUCCGGAGAAGCGUCGGAAGGAAGUCCUGCGCCGGCUCAACGAUGGUGCCUCCCCACUCAUGCUGCUGAAAGGGGGGUUCAGCCCGGCAGAGCUUCUCAAUGCCGGUGUGCCGCGGGAGGCUCUGCGCUCCCUCUACCCGGUGUCCUCGUCCAUUUUGUCGUCGCAAACCCCGCGAAGGGAGGCGCGCGGCCGCUCACCCAGCACGCCAGGUUUUUCGUGUGCGUACGAACCUCUGGUGGUGGCGACAGGCACGAUGCGGGACGUCUCGGAGGCGCUCAAUGACGGUCUGCGCAGCCGCAGCAUGAGCACCAGCGUCAGCGACGUCCGUGAGGUCACACAUAGCCACACGGCUCGCUCAACAACCGUGCUGUCGGCCCGCUCAUACUGGCAGAGCGCGGAAAACCUCCCAAAUGGCUCUCGGCGCUCCCCCGCUCGACUUGCGGCCCAUAUGCGGCUUUCAACGGCGCAACAUGAGUUUCACGACUGUAACUCGAUGGAGCGAUGCAGUGCCACUCUUACCCCUGUCGGCACCAUCCGGGUGCGAGUAGCGGCCCUCUCCGCGACAAUCGCAUGCGGCUACUCAGGCGAAUCCGCCGUCUAUCACCACCCGCUCGAGGUGCUCCGCUUCCUGCAUGAGGAUGGCUCCCGACUAAGUAUCAUGGCGGAGGACUGCAGUGCUCUCAAAAGCGACGAGGUGCUGACAACGGAAGUGUAUGUCAAGCGUUCGCUGGCGCGGGCUCGCGCCGCCGCUGAUGACGCUAAGACCUACUUCAAGGUGAAGCUCCACACCGCGGCCCGCAAGAUCGCAACAACGGUGAUGGAUUCGUACGUGAACAUCUACGCGGGGCCCUCGCCGGUGAUUCUCGCGGGCUUCUACCUUGUCAAGGGCAAUACAGCCUACACAAUUCAGCUGCAGACCCACACGGACGCCUACGAAGAGCGGCUGGCGGAUCUGCUCUACACAGCGCAGAGCGCGCGACUGCAGGGCGCGGGGGAGACGGCGGGCAGCCGCUGUGGUGGUGGACGGGGGCGGAACGAGUACCACGUUCAAGCGGAAGGCGUCGACAGAGUGUACGUCGUGGAGAUCCCCGUCGACGUCGUGGUGAGGGGGCCGACGGCUCCCCACGCCGCGCGGAGUGAGCUCAUUUUGACGCCGUGCCGCAGCGGCGGUGACACCGGGGCACCGUGGAACGCUACCAUAGCUGUUUGCCCGAACGCGGCACGCGAGCACGCGGAAAACGGAGAGAGGCGGCAUAAUGUAAUCCCGCUGCUACACGACGCGCACGUGUUGAUUGAGCUCAUCGUGUACAUAGCUGGCAGUGUAGCGGCAGGCAUGACAUCAUCGCCGCCGCCGCUGCCGCCUCCACUCGCGGCCGUUAUGGCACGCGAGGCCACCACCGCAGACAGACAGCUUUCCGGCAGUGUGUACCGAUCCGCUGAGCUGACAAUGAUACUCCCACCACCUGAGCACUUCCACACUGUCGUAUGCGAGCACCCCUAUGAGUCCUCCAUGACACUCUUCAUCACCUCCGUGACUUCUGCGGAGCUCUUCGAGAUGGAGCUGCGUCGUCUGAGCCACAUGAACGAGGACUCGCUGGAGCAGCUGUUCUCCUAUGUGGAGACGCUUUUCCUCACCCCUGCCCGUCCGCGACGCUCGAUGAACGCUGCAGGCCAAGCCUGCUUCUCCGUCGAGGGAAUUGCCGUGUCGCCCGCGAAGACCACUCUGUGGGUGUACGGAGUGCAGCUGAGAGAGGAAUGCUGGCUCAUUUUUCGAUGGCUGUGCGCCGCCAGUGCCGCGGAGCCGCCCGAGCUGGAACAGUACCGUAGAGAGCUCGUCAAGAGCAUUGUAUGUCGAAGUGACUGAAAGAAGGACAGCACAUUGACUUUCGUAAGACUGGCGAGGGCUCGGCCUUUAUCCUCUCGUGCCGCCGCCGUUUCCUCCACGUUCCCUCUGCUGAAGGCACCGGCUGCGUGUAGUGUUGCUUGGGUUGCUGCUGUUGAUAUUGGAACUGAAGCCGCGUUGUCGGUGAACGUGAGAAACAUGGCUGCUGUACGUGUGUAGUGUGUGUGUGUGUAUCUGUGUGCUGCUUGUGCGCCUCCCUCCCUCCUCAUCCCCGUUCGCGUGGUCCACACAGAGCAAAGACAGAAAAAACAGUAAAAUAGUAGUCAGUGUUCGCCGUGUGUGUGUGCGUGAGUCUCUUCACCGCAGCCCAAUGCUUCACACGGCCGCAUGGGAGGCUUCCUUCACGAGGGUGCGAAUCGGUUCAAACAGGGCUCGCCAUGUCCAUGUGCCGUUUGCGCUCUUUUAUAAUCUCUGCUUUCUCAAUCGCACUCUCCACGUGAGCAUGCGCCACGCGCUCCGACACCGCCGCCGCCGCCCUUCGUCCCCUGCUCAUCGCUUAGCCGCAAGGGCAGCUUCAUGCUCGGCAUCGUAUGUGUGCCAGCUUUGCAUGCGUACUUUUCCAUUUUGCUUCUCCUUGCCACCAUAUCGCCAG